rnacentral:rRNA from 1 species
UACAGAGGGUGCAAGCGUUGUUCGGAAUUAUUGGGCGUAAAGGGAGUGUAGGCGGCUUGUUAAGUCUUCUGUGAAAGCUACGGGCUUAGCCUGUAAAGUGCAGAGGAAACUGGCGAGCUUGAGUGUCGGAGAGGGUAGCGGAAUUCCCGGUGUAGAGGUGAAAUUCAUAGAUAUUCGGAGGAACACCAGUGGCGAAGGCGGCUCACUGGUCCGGUACUGACGCUGAGGUGCGAAAGCGUGGGGAGCAAACAGG